rnacentral:rRNA from 1 species
GAUGAACGCUGGCGGCGUGCCUAACACAUGCAAGUCGAACGGAGUCCAGCCUUUAAGACCUUCGGGUCAAAGAGGGGAAGACUAAGUGGCGGACGGGUGAGUAACACGUGGGCAACCUGGCUCAUAGAGGGGGAUAACAGAGAGAAAUUUCUGCUAAUACCGCAUAAGCACACACUGCCGCAUGGCAGAGGGUGAAAAGAGAAUCGCUAUGAGAUGGACCCGCGUCUGAUUAGCCAGUUGGCAGGGUAAGAGCCUACCAAAGCGACGAUCAGUAGCCGAUCUGAGAGGAUGAACGGCCACAUUGGGACUGAGACACGGCCCAAACUCCUACGGGAGGCAGCAGUGGGGGAUAUUGCACAAUGGGGGGAACCCUGAUGCAGCGACGCCGCGUGAGUGAAGAAGUAUUUCGGUAUGUAAAGCUCUAUCAGCAGGGAAGAUAAUGACAGUACCUGAAUAAGAAGCCCCGGCUAACUACGUG